UACGAAGGGGGCUAGCGUUGCUCGGAAUCACUGGGCGUAAAGGGUGCGUAGGCGGGUUUUUAAGUCAGGGGUGAAAUCCUGGAGCUCAACUCCAGAACUGCCUUUGAUACUGAAGAUCUCGAGUCCGGGAGAGGUGAGUGGAACUGCGAGUGUAGAGGUGAAAUUCGUAGAUAUUCGCAAGAACACCAGUGGCGAAGGCGGCGCACUGGCCCGGUACUGACGCUGAGGCGCGAAAGCGUGGGGAGCAAACAGG
rnacentral:rRNA from 1 species